AAAAAGGCAAAUCUUGGGUUUCUGUGUCCAAUUUUAACUGUCCGUCUUAUAUGAAAUUUUUUUAUAAUUCGUAUUUUCAUUGUUGUUAGAUGAUAAAAUAUAAUUAAUAUUUUAUGCGUGACUUGUCUUUUUAAUUUUUUUCAUAAUUUUUUCAAAUAAGACGGACGGUCAAACGCUGGACAUGGAAACCAGGGUUUGUCUUUUU
rfam:Oryza barthii chromosome 1, whole genome shotgun sequence.